UAAGGAAUAUUGGUCAAUGGAGGCAACUCUGAACCAGCCAUGCCGCGUGCAGGAUGACUGCCCUAUGGGUUGUAAACUGCUUUUGUCAGGGAAUAAACCUUUCUACGUGUAGAAAGCUGAAUGUACCUGAAGAAUAAGGAUCGGCUAACUCCGUGCCAGCAGCCGCGGUAAUACGGAGGAUCCAAGCGUUAUCCGGAUUUAUUGGGUUUAAAGGGUGCGUAGGCGGUCCUAUAAGUCAGUGGUGAAAGACGGCAGCUUAACUGUCGCAGUGCCUUUGAUACUGUAGGACUUGAAUCUAUUUGAAGUGGGCGGAAUAAGACAAGUAGCGGUGAAAUGCAUAGAUAUGUCUUAGAACUCCGAUUGCGAAGGCAGCUCACUAAGUUAGUAUUGACGCUGAUGCACGAAAGCGUGGGGAUCAAACAGGAUUAGAUACCCUGGUAGUCCACGCCCUAAACGAUGAUAACUCGAUGUUUGCGAUACACAGUAAGCGUCCAAGCGAAAGCGUUAAGUUAUCCACCUGGGGAGUACGGUCGCAAGAUUGAAACUCUAAAGUGAAUUGAC
rnacentral:rRNA from 1 species